rnacentral:rRNA from 1 species
UACGGAAGGCAGCGGUGGGGAAUAUUGCACAAUGGGCGAAAGCCUGAUGCAGCUAUGCCGCGUGUAUGAAGAAGGCCUUAGGGUUGUAAAGUACUUUCAUCGGGGAGGAAAAACAAAACUAAUAAUUUUAUUUCUUGACGUUACCCGAAAAAGAAGCACCGGCUAACUCCGUGCCAGCAGCCGCGGUAAUACGGAGGGUGCUAGCGUUAAUCAGAAUUACUGGGCGUAAAGAGCACGUAGGUGGUUUUUUUAAGUCAGAUGUGAAAUCCCUGGGCUUAACCUAGGAACUGCAUUUUGAAACUGAAAUACUAGAGUAUCGUAGAGGGAGGUAGAAUUCUAGGUGUAGCGGUGAAAUGCGUAGAUAUCUGGAGGAAUACCUGUGGCGAAAGCGGCCUCCUAAACGAAUACUGACACUGAGGUGCGAAAGCGUGGGGAGCAAACAGGGAUUAGAUACCCGU